ensembl:lncRNA
UCUACAUUUAUUUAUUUCUGUAUUUCCACAUUUCUACAUUUAUUUUCCCUGCGCCUGUAUGCUAAUUGAGUGGGGGGUGCCAACAUCAGUCUGAAGAAGGAUUGGUUAGAGCGAUGUGAUCGAAUCUACUACUACUGCCUUGAUUUCGCUGGUACUCGGUAAUGCUGCUUGAGUUAAUAGAGGCUGUUUUCAGUUUCAUGUAGCCUGGAUGGAGACUUUUGUUCAAGCAAUUGCUAACGAUUUAAGAUCAUUAGCGCAGGAUUGUGAGAACAAUGCGUCCAAUGACUAUCUCCAGUUUCGUUUGUGCAGAGUAAUGGAGGAUUUAGUUCAGAUCAGUGCUGAUAUGGAUGUCGAAGUUGAGGUAGCAGUGCUAGAGAGUCUUCAAGAAAUCCUCCGCCAACUUCACAUUCUCUCUGAGACAGAGGAAGCGACAACUGGACGGCCAUCGUACCCUUUACCACCUGAUAUAAUUGAAGCUCACCUCCUUUUGGGGCACACUGCUGGAGAAAUUGCGCAGUUGUUCGGAGUGUGCGAGAGAACAGUUCGUCGAAGGAUGACACAAUAUGGCAUAAGGUAAUUUUACGUUUUUACACCUUUUAUAACAAGGGACACUUGCUCCGGCUGUUAUUGAGGGUGAGAGGCUGAUCUCUGAUAGACUUCUGACAUAGGAAAAACAGAGAUACACAUUAGACCUUCUGAAAAAGGAGAAAUCAAAUCACCUGGAGUAACGUUAGUUAACACCAGCUGGCCCAGCAGCCUUGCCUGGAUGAUGGCAGGUCGUGCCAAAACGCGAAGCGCGCGGGGCGCAUACCAGCCAGCAAAGCGCUUACUGUCUAUAGAAAACAAGUGAAAAAAAUGCCUCUUUCUCUGCAAAAAACUCCCUUUUUCUAUUCAUUACUUCAUACUGAACUGUAUGACCUCACCUUGGUCUAUUCCGUUCAUAAUAUCUAGCCUAUUGAAUGUCCGUCCUGGAUGAUAUCCCUCCUAUGUUGCUCUUCCUAACAUGUUUGUCCAUAAGGGAUGUAAGGAUAGAAGAUGUUCUAUUGCUGUACAAAUUGUAAAGGUCUUUGAGGCACAGAUAUUGGAAUAUACAAAUCAAAUUAACUUUACUUGAUGUAAGUCUCUCUUAGACCACGUUUGCAAUGAGGCUUAAAAGACUAAGUGCUUUUGCAGAUAACUGACAGCUAAGCAAAUGAUACUGAUCAGAAAUCAUACAAUUUUUGCAGAGAAAGAGGCAUUUUUUCACUUGAUUUCUUGAAGACUCUCUAGCACUGCUACCUCAACUUCGAC